rnacentral:misc_RNA from 1 species
UCUCCGUAGGUGAACCUGCGGAGGGAUCAUUACAAGUGACCCCGGUCUUACCACCGGGAUGUUCAUAACCCUUUGUUGUCCGACUCUGUUGCCUCCGGGGCGACCCUGCCUUCGGGCGGGGCUCCGGGUGGACACUUCAAACUCUUGCGUAACUUUGCAGUCUGAGUAAACUUAAUUAAUAAAUUAAAACUUUUAACAACGGAUCUCUUGGUUCUG